rnacentral:rRNA from 1 species
UUUCAAGUCUUUAAGAGCAAACGGUGGAUGCCUUGGCAUCUGGAGCCGAAGAAGGACGUAGCAAUCUGCGAUAAGCCUCGGGGAGUGGAUAAGCACACUGUGAUCCGAGGGUGUCCGAAUGGGGAAACCCCGCUGGGCGGCGUGCCGACCUAGUGACUCCCGCCUGAAUAUAUAGGGCGGGUAGAGGGAACGUGGGGAAGUGAAACAUCUCAGUACCCACAGGAAGAGAAAGCAACAGCGAUUCCGUUAGUAGUGGCGAGCGAAACCGGAUCAGGCUAAACCUUGCGUGUGUGAUAGCCGGCAGGCGUUGCACGUUGGGGGUUGUGGGACUUUUCUGAUCAUUCUGCCGAGUGGUCGACGUUACAAGAAGGUAUAGACGAACAGGUUUGAAUGCCUGGUCAUAGAGGGUGCGAACCCCGUAGUCGAAAUGCUUCUCUUGGCGUGAAGAGUAUCCCAAGUAGCACGGGGCCCGAGAAAUCCCGUGUGAAUCUGUCAGGACCACCUGAUAAGCCUAAAUACUCCCAGAUGACCGAUAGCGGACAAGUACCGUGAGGGAAAGGUGAAAAGUACCCCGGGAGGGGAGUGAAAUAGUACCUGAAACCGUUUGCUUACAAACCGUUGGAGCCUCCUUAGUAGGGGUGACAGCGUGCCUUUUGAAGAAUGAGCCUGCGAGUUAGCGAUACGUGGCGAGGUUAACCCGUGUGGGGUAGCCGUAGCGAAAGCGAGUCUGAAUAGGGCGAUUCAGUCGCGUGUCCUAGACCCGAAGCGAAGUGAUCUAUCCAUGGCCAGGUUGAAGCGACGGUAAGACGUCGUGGAGGACCGAACCCACUUAGGUUGAAAACUGAGGGGAUGAGCUGUGGAUAGGGGUGAAAGGCCAAUCAAACUUCGUGAUAGCUGGUUCUCUCCGAAAUGCAUUUAGGUGCAGCGUUGCGUGUUUCUUGCCGGAGGUAGAGCUACUGGAUGGCCGAUGGGCCCUACAAGGUUACUGACGUCAGCCAAACUCCGAAUGCCGGUAAGUGAGAGCGCAGCAGUGAGACUGUGGGGGAUAAGCUUCAUAGUCGAGAGGGAAACAACCCAGACCACCAACUAAGGUCCCAAAGCGCGUGCUAAGUGGGAAAGGAUGUGGAGUUGCUCUGACAACCAGGAGGUUGGCUUAGAAGCAGCCACCCUUGAAAGAGUGCGUAAUAGCUCACUGGUCAAGUGAUUCCGCGCCGACAAUGUAACGGGGCUCAAGCACGCCACCGAAGUUGUGGCAUUGACAUUAUUGGUAGGCCUUCGUGGUCCAGCCGUGUUGAUGGGUAGGAGAGCGUCGUGUGCCGGGUGAAGCGGCGGGGUGACCCAGCCGUGGACGGCACACGAGUGAGAAUGCAGGCAUGAGUAGCGAAAGACGUGUGAGAAACACGUCCUCCGAAAGACCAAGGGUUCCAGGGUCAAGCUAAUCUUCCCUGGGUAAGUCGGGACCUAAGGCGAGGCCGACAGGCGUAGUCGAUGGACAACGGGUUGAUAUUCCCGUACCGGCGAAGAACCGCCCAAGCUAAUCCAGUGGUGCUAAGAGUCCUAACCCGGGCUUAGUUGAUCCCUUCGGGGUGAGACGGUCCGGUCUAACGCUCGACCCCAUGCUGGUGCGGCUAGCGUAUUAACAGGUGUGACGCAGGAAGGUAGCCCAACCCGGGCGAUGGUUGUCCCGGGGCAAGUGCGUAGGCCGAGUCAUAGGCAAAUCCGUGACUCANNNNNNNNNNNNNNNNNNNNNNNNNNNNNNNNNNNNNNNNNNNNNNNNNNNNNNNNNNNNNNNNNNNNNNNNNNNNNNNNNNNNNNNNNNNNNNNNNNUAAAAAGUGGGUGAUCCUAUGCUGCCGAGAAAAGCAUCGACGCGAGGUUCUAGCUGCCCGUACCCCAAACCGACUCAGGUGGUCAGGUAGAGAAUACCAAGGAGAUCGAGAGAAUCGUGGUUAAGGAACUCGGCAAAAUGCCCCCGUAACUUCGGGAGAAGGGGGGCCUUCCACUUAUUAGGAUUUACUCCGAAAGGGUGUGGAGGCCGCAGAGACUAGUGGGUAGCGACUGUUUACUAAAAACACAGGUCCGUGCCAAGUCGCAAGACGAUGUAUACGGACUGACGCCUGCCCGGUGCUGGAAGGUUAAGAGGACCGGUUAGCCGCAAGGCGAAGCUGAGAAUUUAAGCCCCAGUAAACGGCGGUGGUAACUAUAACCAUCCUAAGGUAGCGAAAUUCCUUGUCGGGUAAGUUCCGACCUGCACGAAUGGCGUAACGACUUCCCAACUGUCUCAACCGCGAACUCGGCGAAAUUGCACUACGAGUAAAGAUGCUCGUUACGCGCAGCAGGACGGAAAGACCCCGUGACCUUUACUACAGCUUGGUAUUGGUGUUCGGUGUGGCUUGUGUAGGAUAGGUGGGAGACUGUGAAGCGGUGACGCCAGUUACCGUGGAGUCAUUGUUGAAAUACCACUCUGGUCACUCUGGAUAUCUAACUUCGAACCGUAAUCCGGUUCAGGGACAGUGCCUGGUGGGUAGUUUAACUGGGGCGGUUGCCUCCCAAAAAGUAACGGAGGCGCCCAAAGGUUCCCUCAACCUGGUUGGCAAUCAGGUGGCGAGUGUAAGUGCACAAGGGAGCUUGACUGUGAGACUGACAGGUCGAGCAGGGACGAAAGUCGGGACUAGUGAUCCGGCAGUGGCUUGUGGAAGCGCUGUCGCUCAACGGAUAAAAGGUACCUCGGGGAUAACAGGCUGAUCUUGCCCAAGAGUCCAUAUCGACGGCAUGGUUUGGCACCUCGAUGUCGGCUCGUCGCAUCCUGGGGCUGGAGUAGGUCCCAAGGGUUGGGCUGUUCGCCCAUUAAAGCGGUACGCGAGCUGGGUUUAGAACGUCGUGAGACAGUUCGGUCCCUAUCCGCUGCGCGCGUAGGAAAUUUGAGAGGAUCUGACCCUAGUACGAGAGGACCGGGUUGGACGAACCUCUGGUGUGCCAGUUGUUCCGCCAGGAGCACCGCUGGUUAGCUACGUUCGGGAUGGAUAACCGCUGAAAGCAUCUAAGCGGGAAGCCGGCCUCAAGAUGAGAUUUCCAUGCCUUCGGGCGAGAGGCUCCCAGCCAGACUACUGGGUUGAUAGGCCGGAUGUGGAAGCGUGGUAACACGUGAAGCUGACCGGUACUAAUAAGCCGAUGACUUGAUAAC